AUCUCACACUUGUUCGAAUUGCCAACAUUGUUUUAAAGCCUGGGGCAAUGCUAAUAUAACUAUCUCCUUUCACUAUUGGGGGAAAAUAUUCCACUUUACACCACAAGCCUAAUUUAAGUUGUAAAUUAAAUAACAUACCUUUAAAAAGUUUCAAUGACACAUAAAAGCAUCUAAUUAUUCAUAGACCACCUAAAGAAACACAAGUUUUAUUCACAGAAGCACAUUAAAUCAAAAGUACAUGCCAACACCACCAAAAUGGUUUUAUUUUUUUCAUACACAACAUAUACACACAGCAAUUUACCAUUAUUUUGUUCAGUUUCUUAAAUAUUACUUAGGUAUGCAUUAAAAAUAUAUGUUUACAUUUAAGAAAUGUGACACAUUAAAGAAGUCCGCUGUAAACAUAAUUCCUUCUCAUUAUAUUUUCCUGCUUUGUUCCAUACAUAAAUAACUUAAUCUAUAGAGUUAUAAAUAAAACUAUCAACCUCUUAUGGCCUAGAAGUAUACACAAAUUUUGGAGUCUGACAAAGUGUUCUUUUUAGGAUUUUAUAAAUAACAACAUACAGUAUUUGCAGUGCUUAUUAGCAGUCAAAUGACUUAUCAUAAGUUCUUAUUGUCUCCAAACUUGUUCUGCCAAUAAUAGACCUUCCAGUGCACUUGAUAAAAAUGCCAUGUAUAAAAGUCAAAAACGUCAAAAGCCUAGACUGAAAAAAACAAACAAAAACAGCAGAGAAGGAUGUUAUUUAAAUAUUACGAAGUUUUUUAAAAACCACUUCAGCUUGUCUGAAAAUGAAAAAUGCUACUAAAGAGUGAAUGCUUGUACCAUCAUUUAAAUGGUACUGUAUCUAACAAAAUCUAAAAUUUAAGAAAUGAUACAUAAAAUCAUAUUAAAUCUAUAUCAGUCUUGAAAAAAAAUUCCAUUUGACAUUCUGUUUCAGGGACAGAAUCAAUACUAUCCUAAAUUUUCUAAAAUUUAUUUUGGAAUCAUUACUUUGAUGAGUUAAAACUUUAAGAGUAAAAAUGAUGACCCACAAAUGAUUUUAGCCAUACAUAUAAUUCCUGAUACAAAAGAUUUGAUUAUUUAGUUUUUGCUUAAUGACUGGAAAUACUUAUUUCUUCAGAAAAUAUUAAAUAUCUGUUGAAACAAACCACCUAUUUAGCAAUUUAUUAAAUAGACCCUCAAGAUUUACUAGGUAAGCAUUCAAAUUAGUUUUAUGUAAUAAAAGUAAAAAAUUUUGCAUGUUGGCUGCUUACUUUUAUACAUUACUUUUUAAAGAAUUCAUUUAAAGGAUAUGAAAUUUAGAAAGAAAAACAUUAACUAAUAUUCUCAUUAGCUUUAACUAUUUCAAACUAUAGAUAAUACUAAGCUAAGCAAUGUCAUUUUCAUUACUUUUAAAUCUAAGUUUCUAAAAGUUUCAUUUUUCAAUCAAUACAAAAAUUAUCUGAUUCACACUAUUAACCUUCCAAACAAACUGUUUAAAAAUCUAAAUACUCUGUUAAAGAAUGGAUUACAAGAAAUGUUUUCCAUGCUCUUAUUUUAAAAAACAAAAUUCUGAUAUACAUAA